rnacentral:rRNA from 1 species
GAGUUUGAUUCAUGGCUCAGGAUGAGCGCUAGCUACAGGCUUAACACAUGCAAGUCGAGGGGAAACGACAUCGAAAGCUUGCUUUUGAUGGGCGUCGACCGGCGCACGGGUGAGUAACGCGUAUCCAACCUGCCCACCACUUGGGGAUAACCUUGCGAAAGUAAGACUAAUACCCAAUGACGUCUCUAGAAGACAUCUGAAGGAGAUUAAAGAUUUAUCGGUGAUGGAUGGGGAUGCGUCUGAUUAGCUUGUUGGCGGGGUAACGGCCCACCAAGGCGACGAUCAGUAGGGGUUCUGAGAGGAAGGUCCCCCANAUUGGAACUGAGACACGGUCCAAACUCCUACGGGAGCA